AUCAGUCAUUUUGUAUAAUGCCAAAUUCAACAUAUUGAUGUCAGACCUCAUCAGAGUAAUGCGAAAUGUGUCCCGCAUGUGCGACCCUAGAGAGUUAAAGAGACACAUACAACAUUUUGUUCACCGCAUGUAGUUCUCAGGAUACAGCCAUAAAGAAAGGAUCAGAGUAUACAAAAGGAGGAAAUUUGAA